rnacentral:rRNA from 1 species
UACGGAGGGAGCUAGCGUUAUUCGGAAUUACUGGGCGUAAAGGGCGCGUAGGCGGUGUGUCAAGUCAGGCGUGAAAGCCCCGGGCUCAACCUGGGAACCGCGCUUGAGACUGGCACGCUAGAGUUCGGGAGAGGAUGGUGGAAUUCCCGGUGUAGCAGUGAAAUGCGUAGAGAUCGGGAGGAACACCAGUGGCGAAGGCGGCUACCUGGACCAGCAUUGACACUCAAGCACGAAAGCGUGGGGAGCAAACAGG